GUGUUGAGGCCACCGUGUGUGUGUGUUUCACCACUUCGUUGCUUUAGUCAGAACCAGAUAUUUUGAGCUGAGAGAACCUAGAACGCUCUGAGAAUAUCAGUGACUCCUUGGUGAGUUAUACAUAUUGGCUGAAUUCUAACCUGCUAAAGCUGAUGGGACACCACAGGAAUGAACAAGAUCCCAGCGCUGGGGCUCAGUUCAUUGGCCAGGAAAUUGGAAGAUCUUGUU